ACCAAAGAAAUAUCAGACAGAAGAUGAGAGAAUGUAAAUUUACUCAAUGAAUAUUGCUACCAAAGGCUCUAUUUCAUGCCUUCCACAGGCUAAACCUACCCAGCAUCAUGAAAGCAAGGCAGCCUGGUGUGGCAAACCUUGGAGCUCAGGCUCUGGGAGCACAGAGAAGGAUUUCCAUAAAGCCAAAGAAACAUUUUCUAGCAGUCAGAGCGGACCAGCAGUGAAAAGGCUGAAUUCUUUUUCACCCAAAUUAUUUCAGAAAGAAUGAGAUUGCUGCCUGCCAGUAACAUUUGAGAAGAGAGUAACUCCAGACCAUCUCUGAAAUCCCAUCCAACUUCAAUGUCAUGUGGCU